rnacentral:lncRNA from 1 species
ACGGAUCCAUUGGCAUGUGUACCACACAUCCCGUCACUAAUUCUAUCAGUGUCAUUCUUAACAAGGUAAGUAUGAUUGCCUAAUCUCUGAUUUCCUUAAUUGAUCUUUGGUCCUUGAUCCCUAAUGUCGUUAUAUUUUAUUGAUUUUAUAAAUGAUCUCAAACAGGAACAUACCAUUUUUAGGCUACAGUUCCUAUAACUUGCCUUGUCAAUUUGAUAAAAUUACAUGUGUGAUGGAGGUUGUAACUUAUUACAGUUUACAUUGUCAGAAUUCUUCAAACCCUAUGUCGAUCCUCACUAUCUUUGAAACAAUCUGAUUUCUGUGUCAUUGCUAAGCAUAUGUAUAUAUUUGGUGUGCUGGAUUUUCUGAUGUAAGAGGAAGCUAUUCGACAAUCCUGCUCAAGUUGGUAUAGAUUAGAUCGAUUUUAUUCAGUAAAUAUUUAUGCUUGAUAGAUGAAAGCCUCCCUCCUCUGCCCUUCUUUUCUCCAUUCUCUGUAGGUCGCGAGCACAUGUGAAUCGUUGUCGUCAAGAGCAUGCUUGUGACAUCAUUACUAUACGUGAUGCAGCGCAAAAGGAUGUUGUCAGGAGGUACAAACACAUUUAGUCAUUUCCUAUUAUUUUCCUUUCCCGUUUUUGCCGUCAUAUACAAAGUAUCUCCCACUGUAACGCACAUCCAAAUUUGUAUUAUUGAAAGUUUUAAUCAUCCUUGCUGCAGUUAAGUGUUCAACGCAAUCUCUAGCCAAGUUUCCUUUGUUGUUGUGUUGAAUUUUGGGGAAAGGCGGCGAAGCAGCUCGUGGCAUCUGUGUCGCGCCUGCUCCGCCACUGCCUUGACUCGCCGACGACAUCGCCCGUUGGGCUGCAGGGGUGCAAGACGACCGUGGGGCCCAUUGCAUGGGUGCUGAGUAUGCUUGAUUUGAGACGAAGGCCCUAGAGCUUGGUGGCUUGUGUGUGAUGUUUUUUUCCUCCUGUUGCAACACAUCGAUUGAUUUAUUCAUGCAUCCAUUGAUUUACUCUGAAUUUUUUUCAGUCAUCAAAUAUUAACUGGAUUGACUCGUGGAUAUGCAGUGUGACAAGUCGUGUGAGAUGAAGGCGGUGAACCAUCUCAAUAUGAAGCCAAGUAUGUGGUGGAUUUGCCAUGGAUGAUGGUAGACCGGUAAGGUUUAAAGUUUGAGUUAUCAAAUUUUGUGUCACCGAGCUCCUGGACGGUCAAACCUAUAAAGUUCAGUUAAGAUUUAGACUACAUAUGGAUUUCUGUUUGUUGCCGACAAUGCUCUAAUCACGCUAACUAUGUGCAUGGAGUGUACUAGAGAUGAUGCAAAAAUUGCUUGCAGAUAGGCGGCUGGGUGCAUGAAUAAUUGUCAAGGUGACCGAAGCUAGCGCUAUUUUUGUUGGACUGAAGGAAUUGUAUAAGGUAUUUCGAGGCUCCCUGAUGGUGGAGAUCGACUACGCAGUGGGGAAAGGAGCUAGGGGUUGAUUUUGUAAGCAGAUCAUUGUCCGACCCAAUUAUUGUUGAUAUUAAAUCCGCCGAAGCUCCCGGAGACCUUAUGGUUGCGGAUGGUGUCGUGGACCAAUUACAUGCUCCGCUCUGGAAGGAAAACGAUGCAGCCUUGACGUCGGCCUAAGUCUUGAUGUAAUCCUCAAAAGAGAUAUUGCUUGCAGAUUGGUUAUAUAGAAACAUGCAUGUUGUAGGUCUGUUAAUUUUAGUUUUGGAAUAUUAAGAUCUGUUCAGAUGAUUUCCUUACUCUUAUGGCUAAAAAAUUCACAAGAUAGUGACUGAAAUACAUUGGUUUUACUCAACUUGCUGCUGCUUGAUUAGUACUCAAUCAAGAUGAGGGUGACCAUGAUAACUGGUGUUGAGUAUAGGUACAUGCACUGAAUUUUCCAUUGUGCCAAAACUAACACAUCAGAAUCUUUCAAUUUGGUGCUACCAUAUUUCAAAGUAAGAACAUGAUGAUCCACAGGAAUCUUAUUAUGUAGGCAUAUGUAAUCUCAGUUUUUUACUCUGUAUAAACUAUGAUAGGAGUAGGCCCACAUAAAUGUGUAUCCAGUUUUGCCUUCUACUGAUCUAUGACAAAGGGGAUGUGCUGG